CGUCGAGUCGGCCGGCUCCGGUCCACGGCGUCGAACCCCUAUAGUCCAAGUUCUGGGCGUCAGGGGAAGACUCCGAUGGAGCGGAGGAGGACGAGGCAAGUCCCGGAUUGGCGACACCAUCGACACCGACCUUCAUCAACGAAGCUUUGGCUGCAGGCUUCACGGUCGAACAGCUAGCAAGGGCGGAGCAAGCACAGGAUUCAGGUAAAAGUUCAUCGCCUACUGCUCAUCAAUUACCUAAUGUAAUUGUGUCAGAGUUGGUUCGGAGAACCAUCGCGAUGUCACCGUGGAAGGGUCCUCUACCCAGCCCUCGAGUUUCCCCGUCGAGGACGCUUGGGGAUUGCCUUGCCAUGGCGAGCAGACGGCAUACAGGUCCUCCUGGUGGAUCGGCCUUGUCAUCGAGACGGCCGAGAUCGUCGGCAAGGCCUAUGCCGAGCAGUGUUUAAAAAAUUUUCAAAUCUCCGGAAAACCAGGACAUCGAUCCAAAUUUUUCGCCGCUUCCAAACGUGCUGCUUCCAGCAUCGGCUGCGUGCACGGCGUCAGGUACGGCAAAGGAGUUGCAUGCCACCGUUCCAGGACCGGUUGACUUGGUGCUUAUCAGGCCUGGCAGAUUUUUUAGGCCCACGAAAGGGCUGUGUGCUCUCUUCAAGCGCACGGGAACCAGGCAGCGACGUUUUCCCGUAACCAAGCUGCCGCUCGUGCCUUCCGCAUCUAAGCAACCCUUGUUCGCAGAGGUCGUCUGAGAGGGCAAAACAAUGGCGGCACAUGGGAUAGGCAAUGGUUGCGCUAACUCCCUCAACUCAGGCUCUCGUGGCAUGGGUCGCGGUGAGCGGCAACACGGUGCUGGUUUUGGAGGAGGGUGGAGUCGUGGGGUUUGGCAGAACCCUAGGCGGCUUCACUACCAUCCUACGGCGCCAAACCAGCCUCCACUGCACCAGCCUCCUCUGCCGGCAGCGGCUUUGGGAAGUAAGCAACCAGCAGCAGAGCAAGGCCAUCAUCCCCCUCAGUCCACUGCACCUAACCCGAUCAAGGGGCAGCGCCACAACCUGGAACAACAACAACGACAAGGGUUACGCAGGGAACAAUUGAUGCCAUUGUCCCGCCAACCUCCGACGCAGCUGAUAUUUCAAAUGAUCCAGCAGAGUCAUCCCAAAAAGGAGGAAACCAAAAGAGCAAGGGUAAACCUUACUGCUAUCGGCGUCACACUAAAGGGCAUACACUUUCUGUUUGCACUGUUGUACUUUGCUGUGAGCUUUGCUUUGGCGAUCAUGUCAAAAAAGUGUGCCCAAAUCUGAAAAAUCUGUAAUCUACUGCUAUACCUUGUGGGUAUGCUGUAGAAGGUCUAGGGUUCUAUUUUAUACCUGUGGUUAAGAAUCCUAAAAUUCUUUCAGAUGAUAAAUCCGCAGUGGUAUGUGUGUUGGAAGGUUCUCUUACUGCUGACCAGUUAGCAGUGGAACUUGACAAACUACUACCUGAGAAUAGUUGGGUCAUUGAGGAGAAAGGAAAUGAUGCUUUUACUACUAAUUUCCCAUCAUCUGAAGUUCUUAGCCAUAUGGUCACCUGGGCCCAAUGGACACAAAGACAGUAAAGAGAAAGAUUCGGUUCGAAAAGGGGGCCGAGAAUGAUGUGUUCAAGUAUGAAAUCGAUAAGGUAUGGGUGCAAUUCAGGGGCUUACCUAAGGAGCUACGAGAAUUUCCUAUCAUUUGGGCAAUUGGCUCAAUUUUAGGUGUUCCUCGUGCAAUCGAUACAAAAUUUACCAAGAAGUAUGGUAGAGCUAGGCGAUUAACCAACUCGGAUAAGAAAUGUGUUUUGAAUUCGGACAGCACAAGACUAAUCCGGCCAUUAGUACACAUACUGAGCAAAUGGUUAUAGAUUUGCCGCCUCAGCUUCCAGGAACUGCAGGUGUUCAGCAGGGUGUAAUUAGCUGACAUCAGCAAGUUAAUCUGGCACGUACAGGAUCAGAUCCGGUGUGAAUAAAAAAUGCUUCUAAACCAGUGGUGUUGCUCACUCAGACCGAGAUGACUCCAGAUGGAUCUGCUCUUUGGAAAGCUAGCUCAAUGCAGUCCAAGAGCAACUCAGAUAUUCUUAAUAAGACUUUAGAGCUGAGCGGCAGGACAGUGUCACCAGUUAGAGCAAGUAAAAGAAAUGUGUCCACUUCGGAGCAAGACUCGUUGGAGAAGGUUACGAAGUUAAAGGCGUGCAAAAAUUUGGAUGCAGCAUCACUCAAAAGGUAAAAAAAUUCAGCCGCGCUCUUUCAAUUCUCUUGAUGACUCUACUUUAUUAGCUACUACUAGUGCAUUAGGGGUGUCUUUAGGUAACAGUGAUCAAGAGAUUGCUUUUUCUUUGAAGUCAUUAAAAGAUCUGGAAUCUCAUAGAUUGUCUGAGAGCUCUAGUUUACAAGUAAAUAAUAAUUUUGGAGUGGAUGAUUUUUUUCUCUGUUUGUUCUGCGGAUGAGAAUUUGGAUUUAGAGACUUUAAACAUCUUGUGUGCUGAUAUUACUGAAGACCUAGGUGAUGGGGGCUGUGACCCUUUCGAUAUACAGACCCCCUUAUCACAGGUCAAAAAACAUAGAUUGUUUCUUAGAAAAAAGAAAAAAUAAAAAUAACUCAAGAUGAGAGGAAUUUUCUAGAAUUGCAAUGGGUUUGCUGACAAGAAAAAAUAUAGAUUUCUAUCUGAUCCGACGAAAGAAAAGAACUUAGAUUUCAUAGCUUUAUCGGAGACUGGUAGAGCCACAUUCCCACAUUUUACCCUGAAUAAUAUUUGUGCUGGCAGGAAUUUUAUUUGGCAUUGCAUGGCUCCUAGGGGUCGGUCUGGUGGCAUGAUUCUGGGUGUAAAUCCUUUAACUUUUGACAUUGGUCAGAUAGAAGAGGGGGACUUUUUUAUCCGGUUCAAAUUAAGACACAAGGAGGAUGAUUUUAAGUUUAAUUUAAUCUCAGUUUAUGGCCCAGCUCAGUCCGAAUUCAAAACACAUUUCUUAUCCGAGUUGGUUAGAGUAUGUUCAAAAGAAUCCAUGCCUAUUAUCAUAGGUGGUGACUUUAACAUUAUUCGUAACCCAGAUGAGAAAAAUACUGAGACGUUCAAUGAGCGGUGGCCUUUUCUUUUUAACGCUGUUAUUGAUACGUUAAAUCUUAGAGAGCUUGAGAUGUCAGGCAGAAAGUUUAUUUGGGCUAAUCGCCUAUAGAACCAGACUUUUGAAAAAUUAGAUAGGGUUCUAGUUUGUACAGAUUUUGAGUCCAAAUAUCCACUUACAAAUGUACUUGCUUUGAGCUGAGAGAUUUCUGACCAUACUCCACUUUUACGUACAACAAACAAUCCUUCCCAAGCUUACCAACCCCAAUGGGAUGGUUGCUUAGAGACGGAUUCUGUGACAUGGUGCGAGACGUUUGGCAUAGUGUAGUCGUCGAAGGCACCCCAUUAGAGAGGUGGCAAGCCAAGAUCAGAAGGCUUCGUCAUUAUCUAAGAGGGUGGGCAAAGAAUGUGAGUGGUGCUUAUAAGAAAGAAAAGAAGGAACUCCUAAAUAAACUCGAUGAACUUGACAAAAAGGCGGAAAACUCUUUACUCAGUGAAAUGGAAUUAAAUCUAAAACACGUGUUAAAUGAAAGACUUGCUGAAUUACUUCGAGAGGAAGAACUAAAGUGGUACCAAAGGGCAAAGGCAAAGCAUCUUGUAGAAGGUGAUGCUAAUACAAAAUACUUUCAUUUGUUGGCAAAUGGUAGACACCGAAAAACUCGUAUUUUCCAGUUAGAGGAUGGGGUUACUACAAUAAGUGGUGAUGUUCAGCUAAAUGAACAUAUUACCUGUUACUAUAAGAAUCUAUUUGGUCCUCCGGAAAUUUCAACUACAAACUGGAAAAUGAGUUUCUAACAAGUGUCUUUUUGGAGUCUGAGGUGAGGACUGCGGUGUUCCAAAUGGAACAUAAUAAAGCACCGGGACCGGAUGGUUUUCCACCUGAGUUCUAUCAAGUCUUCUGGGAUUUAGUAAAAGAGGAACUGAUGGCCAUGUUUACGGAACUCCAUGCGGGAACAUUGCCACUAAAUAGUCUCAACUUUGGGACGAUAAUCUUGUUACCAAAAAAUAAAGAUGCGAAAAGGAUUCAAUAAUACAGACCAAUAUGUUUGUUGAAUGUCUCUUUCAAGAUCUUUACCAAAGUAGCAACAAAUAGAUUAUCUAGUGUUGCCCACAAGAUCAUUAGACCUACGCAAACUGCUUUUCUCCCAGGUAGAAACAUUAUGGAAGGCGCAGUUAUAUUACACGAGACAUUACAUGAACUUCAUUAAAUUUGAUUUUGAAAAGGCUUAUGAUAGAGUAAAAUGGAGCUUUCUACAACAAACCUUAAGGAUGAAAGGCUUCUCACAAAAGUGGUGUUCUUGGAUACAACAGUUCACGCAAUGAGGUAAUGUAAACAUUAAAGUUAAUGACCAACCUAGUUCUUACUUCCAAACAAGGAAAGGCUUAAGGCAAGGUGACCCAAUGUCUCCAAUACUAUUGAAUAUAGUAGUAGACUUGUUGGCCAUACUCAUUGCUCGGGCAAAGGAAGUGGAUCAGGUGGAAGGGGUCAUCCCCCAUCUUGUCCAAGAUGGUCUUUCCAUCCUUCAAUAUGCAGAUGACACUGUGAUUUUCAUGAGUCAUGAUCUGGACAGGGCGUUGAACAUGAAAUUAAUUUUAAGUACCUUCGAGCAACUUUCGGGGCUAAAAAUAAACUUCCACAAGAGUGAGAUAUUUUGUUUUGGUAAAGCAAAGGAGCAUGAAGCAUUUUACUCGCAGCUUUUUGGGUGCAGGUUGGGAAAAUAUCCAUUCCGGUAUCUGGGUUUACCUAUGCACACU
rnacentral:lncRNA from 1 species